AGAGUUUGAUCAUGGCUCAGAAUGAACGCUGGCGGCGUGCUUUACACAUGCAAGUCGAGCGAGGCGGGUAGCAAUACCCAGUCGAGCGGCGAACGGGUGAGUAACGCGUGGAUGGCCUGCCCUUUAGUUGGGAAUAACCCGGGGAAACUCGGGCUAAUACCGAAUGAGACCGAGAGGUGAAAGCGGGGUCGCAAGAUCUCGUGCUGAAGGAGGGGUCCGCGUCCGAUUAGCUAGUUGGUGAGGUAAUGGCUCACCAAGGCGACGAUCGGUAGCCGGCCUGAGAGGGUGAUCGGCCACACUGGAACUGAGACACGGUCCAGACUCCUACGGGAGGCAGC
rnacentral:rRNA from 1 species